AGUGAACGCUGGCGGUAGGCCUAACACAUGCAAGUCGAACGGCAGCACAGUAAGAGCUUGCUCUUACGGGUGGCGAGUGGCGGACGGGUGAGGAAUACAUCGGAAUCUACUUUUUCGUGGGGGAUAACGUAGGGAAACUUACGCUAAGACCGCAUACGACCUACGGGUGAAAGCAGGGGAUCUUCGGACCUUGCGCGAUUGAAUGAGCCGAUGUCGGACUAGCUAGUUGGCGGGGUAAAGGCCCACCAAGGCGACGAUCCGUAGCUGGUCUGAGAGGAUGAUCAGCCACACUGGAACUGAGACACGGUCCAGACUCCUACGGGAGGCAGCAGUGGGGAAUAUUGGACAAUGGGCGCAAGCCUGAUCCAGCCAUACCGCGUGGGUGAAGAAGGCCUUCGGGUUGUAAAGCCCUUUUGUUGGGAAAGAAAAGCAGCAGGUUAAUACCCCGCUGUUCUGACGGUACCCAAAGAAUAAGCACCGGCUAACUUCGUG
rnacentral:rRNA from 1 species